rnacentral:other from 1 species
GUUUUCCGGGGCAGUGAUGCCUCGGCCUCAUUGAAGC